rnacentral:sRNA from 1 species
GAUUAGCCCCGAUUAAAACGGCAUCCUUUUUCUUUUUUCUUUAAAAAAGAAAAAGAUACAGUGUAAAGCGGGAAAUAGC